UACAGAGGUCUCAAGCGUUGUUCGGAUUCAUUGGGCGUAAAGGGUGCGUAGGUGGCGCGCUAAGUCAGGUGUGAAAUUUCGGAGCUUAACUCCGAAACUGCACUUGAUACUGGCGUGCUUGAGGACUGGAGAGGAGACUGGAAUUCAUGGUGUAGCAGUGAAAUGCGUAGAGAUCAUGAGGAAGACCAGUGGCGAAGGCGGGUCUCUGGACAGUUCCUGACACUGAGGCACGAAGGCCAGGGGAGCAAACGGG
rnacentral:rRNA from 1 species